rnacentral:rRNA from 1 species
UGAUUCCGCGCCGACAAUGUAGCGGGGCUCAAGUACACCGCCGAAGCCGUGGCGUUCAGUUUUUCUGGAUGGGUAGGGGAGCGUCGUGCACGAGGUGAAGCCAGCGGGUAACUUCUGGUGGAUUGUGCACGAGUGAGAAUGCAGGCAUGAGUAGCGAAAGACGGGUGAGAAACCCGUCCGCCGGAUGACUAAGGGUUCCAGGGUCAAGCUAAUCUGCCCUGGGUAAGUCGGGACCUAAGGCGAGGCCGACAGGCGUAGUCGAUGGACAACGGGUUGAUAUUCCCGUACCAGUGAAGAACCGUCCAUGUUGAGCCGGUGAUACUAACCGCCCGAACCAUCCCGAACCCCGUCUUUGACGGGGACGGUGGUGGGGAGCGCGGGACCUGAACCGGGGAGGCAAGCGCAUUAACAGGUGUGACGCAGGAAGGUAGCCGAGCCGGGCGAUGGUAGACCCGGUCUAAGCGUGUAGGGCGAUCCGUUGGCAAAUCCGCGGAUCAUUGAGCCUGAGACGUGACGGGACCCCCAUUCGUGGGGGGAUUCGGUGAUCCUAUGCUGCCGAGAAAAGCAUCGACGCGAGGUUCCAGCCGCCCGUACCCCAAACCGACACAGGUGAUCAGGUAGAGAAUACUAAGGCGAUCGAGAGAAUCAUGGUUAAGGAACUCGGCAAAAUGCCCCCGUAACUUCGGGAGAAGGGGGGCCCCGACCGUGGACACCACUUGCUGGUGCGAGCGGGUAAGGGCCGCAGAGACCAGGGGGAAGCGACUGUUUAUCAAAAACACAGGUCCGUGCGAAGUCGUAAGACGAUGUAUACGGACUGACUCCUGCCCGGUGCUGGAAGGUUAAGAGGACCUGUUAGCCUCACGGCGAAGCGGAGAAUUUAAGCCCCAGUAAACGGCGGUGGUAACUAUAACCAUCCUAAGGUAGCGAAAUUCCUUGUCGGGUAAGUUCCGACCUGCACGAAUGGAGUAACGACUUCCCCGCUGUCUCAACCAUGAACUCGGCGAAAUUGCAGUACGAGUAAAGAUGCUCGUUACGCGCAGCAGGACGGAAAGACCCCGAGACCUUUACUAUAGUUUGGUAUUGGUGUUCGGUGUUGCUUGUGUAGGAUAGGUGGGAGACGGUGAAGCGGGCACGCCAGUGCACGUGGAGUCAACGUUGAAAUACCACUCUGGUCACUCUGGACAUCUAACUUCGGCCCGUGAUCCGGGUCAGGGACAGUGCCUGAUGGGUAGUUUAACUGGGGCGGUUGCCUCCUAAAGAGUAACGGAGGCGCCCAAAGGUUCCCUCAGCCUGGUUGGCAAUCAGGUGUCGAGUGUAAGUGCACAAGGG